rnacentral:piRNA from 1 species
UGUGUCAUGCUAGGCAUCCAUCUUGGUACC